AAACCCUUCCCAUUCCAGAUCACCCUAGACCUAGGCGUCCCCAGACCCCUGAGGCUUACCAGCCGGUGCCUGCAUCAACCACCGCCCUGGCUGUAAGCAGGAAGGAAGAUCUCACGGUCGCCUGGGUGUGCAGAACCUCGGCAUUAAAGGUUCAUCCAGGCCUUCCUCAGUUUAAAAAGCACUGGUCUCGGAAAGGCACCACUCAGUUUCAGCCGGGGCAGUGGAGCUGCAGAAGCAGCUGGAGGGAGCAGGGCCAUUCUGACCCGUGUCUGUCAGUGUGCGCGUACUCGGGAAGAACUGGGUUAGAUGAGUGCGGAAGUCCUUGCAGCCACCCAGACCACUGAUGUAAUCAGCAAACACUCUCGGGGCAGGUCGUGUUGUGGAUGCUUAAAAUGUGUUGUCUUCUGGAACAGCCGUGUUACUAAGCUAAACCGUAGCGUGAAAUCUUGCAUAAAAUGAAAAUGGCCAAGACCCACCAGAAGUUUUCUAGAAAUACCGAUUGUUCCAAAGUAAAGUGCUCCUAAGUUUUUGUAGCUGUACUUAAAUUGCUUUGUGGGGGGAAAAAAAAACCAACUGAAGCAUG
rnacentral:lncRNA from 1 species